rnacentral:rRNA from 1 species
GUGGGUAGUUUGACUGGGGCGGUCUCCUCCCAAAGCGUAACGGAGGAGCACGAAGGUUAGCUAAUCCUGGUCGGACAUCAGGAGGUUAGUGCAAUGGCAUAAGCUAGCUUGACUGCGAGCGUGACGGCGCGAGCAGGUGCGAAAGCAGGUCAUAGUGAUCCGGUGGUUCUGAAUGGAAGGGCCAUCGCUCAACGGAUAAAAGGUACUCCGGGGAUAACAGGCUGAUACCGCCCAAGAGUUCAUAUCGACGGCGGUGUUUGGCACCUCGAUGUCGGCUCAUCACAUCCUGGGGCUGAAGUAGGUCCCAAGGGUAUGGCUGUUCGCCAUUUAAAGUGGUACGCGAGCUGGGUUUAGAACGUCGUGAGACAGUUCGGUCCCUAUCUGCCGUGGGCGCUGGAGAAUUGAGGGGGGCUGCUCCUAGUACGAGAGGACCGGAGUGGACGCAUCACUGGUGUUCGGGUUGUCAUGCCAAUGGCACUGCCCGGUAGCUAAAUGCGGAAGAGAUAAGUGCUGAAAGCAUCUAAGCACGAAACUUGCCCCGAGAUGAGUUCUCCCUGAGACUAUAAGUCUCCUGAAGGAACGUUGAAGACGACGACGUUGAUAGGCCGGGUGUGUAAGCGCAGCGAUGCGUUGAGCUAACCGGUACUAAUGAACCGUGAGGCUUAACCUU